GAUGAACGCUGGCGGCGUGCCUAAUACAUGCAAGUCGAGCGAACAGACGAGGAGCUUGCUCCUCUGACGUUAGCGGCGGACGGGUGAGUAACACGUGGAUAACCUACCUAUAAGACUGGGAUAACUUCGGGAAACCGGAGCUAAUACCGGAUAAUAUAUUGAACCGCAUGGUUCAAUAGUGAAAGACGGUUUUGCUGUCACUUAUAGAUGGAUCCGCGCCGCAUUAGCUAGUUGGUAAGGUAACGGCUUACCAAGGCAACGAUGCGUAGCCGACCUGAGAGGGUGAUCGGCCACACUGGAACUGAGACACGGUCCAGACUCCUACGGGAGGCAGCAGUAGGGAAUCUUCCGCAAUGGGCGAAAGCCUGACGGAGCAACGCCGCGUGAGUGAUGAAGGUAUUCGGAUCGUAAAACUCUGUUAUUAGGGAAGAACAAAUGUGUAAGUACCUAUGCACGUCUUGACGGUACCUAAUCAGAAAGCCACGGCUAACUACGUG
rnacentral:rRNA from 1 species